rnacentral:rRNA from 1 species
UACAGAGGUGUCGAGCGUUGUUCGGAUUCAUUGGGCGUAAAGGGCGCGUAGGCGGCGGGGCAAGUCGGGUGUGAAAUCUCAGAGCUCAACUCUGAAACUGCACUCGAUACUGCUUUGCUUGAGGACUGGAGAGGAGAUUGGAAUUCACGGUGUAGCAGUGAAAUGCGUAGAUAUCGUGAGGAAGACCAGUGGCGAAGGCGGAUCUCUGGACAGUUCCUGACGCUGAGGCGCGAAGGCCAGGGGAGCAAACGGG